AUAUCUUAUAUUGCCAUAAGAUUUGGUUGGAUCUGUUCUUAUCAGUGUAAUAUCUGAUAUGUGGGUCAUCAACCCACAUGAUAUUAACUCAAUUUAUUAAGGGGGAGUGUCCAUUAAGGUAGCUUGCUACUUGGGCUCUCGCGUCGCCCAUGCAUUGCACUACUGCACGGGCCUGGCGCACCCCUC
rnacentral:snRNA from 1 species